CUGUGACACUUCCUGGAUCAUGUGACAGGAUAUAAUCAGGUGUUUCAUCACUGACAGCAGAUGUCGACUGUUCUGCUCACAAUGACCUCUCUGCUCAUUCUGACUGUUUCUCUGUCUUUUACUGCAGGUGCGACCAGGUCUAGUAAAGUCCACCAGACCCCGUGGUUGCUGGUCCAGAGGGGUCUUUCCGCUCAGAUGGACUGUGCCCAUGACCUCGGUGGGACUUACUUUGAGAUGUCCUGGUACCGACUGACACCGGGUCGGACUCUGGCGCUGCUGGUCUACACCGUGCCCUUUAAAAACCAACCGGACUUUGGAGAUUUCAGCCCCGACAAGUUCUCAGCCACAAAGAACGAGCCGGAGACGGGCUCGUUCACGGUGAAAAAUGUUGAAGUGUCGGACAGCGCCGUGUAUUACUGCGUCGUUAGUACGUACAUGAACACAGUGAGGAAGUGACUUGAAAAGACGCACAAAAACCACAGAUGCAUGAAGUGACAACUCCAAACACAGAUCACAAAGAGCUGGAGCAGCAGCGAACAGGAGGAAAACCAAACACACUGACUGCUGCAUUUAUCUGUGGAACUGUGAACCCACUGUGGGAGGUUUCCCUUUCAUUUCCUCAUACUUAACCCUCACAGAUCUAAGGGUGUUUUAUCAAUUUCGACAAACUUUCUUAAAUUCACCUUUUACGAUACUUUCAAAUAACAAAAUACCCAAAUGUUUAUAUCAAAAUGCUCA